AUCAACGCUGGCGGCGUGCCUAACACAUGCAAGUCGAACGCGAAAGUGGAGCAAUCCAUGAGUUAGAGUGGCGAACGGGUGAGUAACACGUGGGUUGGUGACCUACCUUCGAGUGGGGGAUAACAUUCCCGAAAAGGGUGACGCUAAUACCGCAUGAACAUGCUGUCAUUUGAAACAGAUGGACAUCAAAGCCGGGGGAUCCGCAAGGCCCUGGCGCUCGAGGAGGGGCCUCGCGCCCUGAUUAGCUAGUUGGUGAGGGGUAACUGGCUCACCAAGGCGAGACGAUCAGGUAUCCGGCCUGAGAGGGCGGACGGACACACUGGGACUGAGACCACGGCCCCAGACUCCUACGGGAGGCAGCAGUGGGGAAUUGUUCGCAAUGGGCGCAAAGCCUGACGACGCAACGCCGCGUGGAGGAUGAAGAUCUUCGGGUCGUAAACUCCUUUCGAUCGAGGACGAAUGGCCUCCGGUGGACUAACACUCCAUGGAGGAAGUGACGGUACCGAGAGAAAGAAGCCCCGGCUAACUCCGUGCCAGCAGCCGCGGGUAAUACGGGGGGGGCAAGCGCUUGUUCGGAAUUACUGGGCGUAAAGGGCGCGUAGGCGGCCUACUAAGUCAGGACGUGAAAUCCCCUCGGCUUAACCGGGGAAACUGCGUCCUGAUACUGGAAUGGCUUGAAUUCCGGGAGAGGGGAUGCUGGAAUUCCAGGUGUUAGCGGUGAAAAUGCGUAGAUAUCUGGAGGAAACACCGGUCGGCGAAGGCGGGCAUCCUGGACCGGCAUACUGACGCUGAGGAGCGAAAGCCUAGGGGAGCAAAAACGGGGAUUAGAUUACCCCGGUAGUCCUAGGCCCUAAACGAUGAAGUGCUUGGUUGUGGGCGGGUAUCGAUCCCUGCCGUGCCGAAGCUAAACGCAUUAAGCCACUUCCGCCUGGGGAGUACGGUCGCAAGGCUGAAAACUCAAAGGAAUUGACGGGGGCCCGCACAAGCGGUGGAAGCAUGUGUGGUUCAAUUCGACGCAACGCGAAGAAACCUUACCCAGGCCUUCGAACGGCAGCGAGUGACACUCCGGCGAAAGGAGUCUUCCGCAAGGACACUCGUAGAGGUGCUGCAUGGCUGUCCGUCAGCUCGUGUCGUGAGAUGUUGGGUUAAGUCCCGCAACGAGCGCAACCCUUGUCUUUCUGUUGCCAUCAGGUUAUGCUGGGCACUCUAAAGAGACUGCCGGUGAUAAACCGGAGGGAAGGUGGGGGAUGACGUCAAGUCAGCAUGGCCUUUAUGUCUGGGGCUACACACGUGCUACAAUGGCAGAUACAAACCGUCGCGAGACCGCAAGGUGGAGCUAAUCGGAGAAAGUCUGUCUCAGUUCGGGAUAGCAGGCUGCAAACUCGCCUGCUUGAAGUUGGAAUCGCUAGUAAUCGCGGAUCAGCACGCCGCGGUGAAUACGUUCCCGGGCCUUGGUAACACACCGCCCGUCACAUCACGAAAGGCCGGUUGUACUAGAAGUCGCCACACUAACCCGCAAGGGAGGGAGGCGCCUAAGGUAUGGUCGGUUGAUUGGGGGU
rnacentral:rRNA from 1 species